UACAGAGGUGGCAAGCGUUGUUCGGAAUUACUGGGCGUAAAGGGCGCGUAGGCGGUUCGUUAAGUCCUGUGUGAAAUCCCCCGGCUCAACUGGGGAACUGCACAGGAAACUAGCGGGCUUGAGUUCGGGAGAGGGAAGCGGAAUUCCGGGUGUAGCGGUGAAAUGCGUAGAUAUCGGGAGGAACACCUGUGGCGAAAGCGGCGCACUGGACCACAACUGACGCUGAGGCGCGAAAGCUAGGGGAGCAAACAGG
rnacentral:rRNA from 1 species